GUCAGUUAGUUACCAACAGAUGCCUGUAGAUACUAUAAAAAUAACCGCUUUUAUCCCCCUAUUUUCAGUGACAUAAACUAAUUAUUUCAAAAAUAAUGCUUGCUAUUUUGCAACAUUCUUGUACAAUAGCUAAUAAAUAACUUGGAAAACACUCAUCUUCAAUUAACUGCACUGAAUUGGAUGUACAGUUUGGAAGGACCGGGGAGAUGAUCACCUUCCGUAUUGAGUGCGUUACCUCAGCCUUCACAUCAGAUUUCAUGCCCAUUUCCACCCUCUUCUGACCAAAUAGAAGGACUGGGUUAAAACAUCACAAAGGAGGUAAAAGAUCUGUACAAUGAAAACUAAGACAUUGUUAUAAUAAAUAAGACACAAGAAAUGGAAAGACAUUCCCUGCUCAUGGAUUGGAAGAAUUUACAUUGUUAAAAUGGCCAUCUCGCCCAAAGCAAUAUACAGAAUCAAUGCAAUACUAAUCAAAGCUUCAAUGGCAUUCUUCAAAGAAAUAGAUCAUUACUGAAAUUUAUAUGAACCACAAAAGACCUUGAAUAGCCAAGGCAAUCCUUACAACAAAAGAGCAGUUCUACCUAAGGCUUUCAGUUUACAUUCUGAAGAGUCAUGGAUCCAACCCAGGACAUGAAAUACAGAAUGAUGAUAUUUGCCACCACUACCAUUAGCACUGUCACCAUCAACACCACCAUUAUCACCAUAACCACCACCAGCAACAUCAUCAUCAUGAAGGCUAUUGUUUCUCGAGGACCAGUGUGUCCCAGUUAUCAUGUUGGGGCUUUCCAUAUCUGUUCUGUUUAUAUUCUCACAGAAAUCCUAUGAACCUGGAAUUCUCCCUCCUUUCUCCUACUUUAUGAAGAUGAUGAGGUGCUAAGGAAUUGAAUACCUCACCUAAGGUCAUCACUGAAGAACCUAAGAGCCAGGUUCAGACCAAGGAUUGUCUGACUCCAAGUCUGACCUAUUUUCCCUGCAGCAUGCCCUUGAUCAAUUUGGGAAAUGGAGGUGGGGGGAAGUUACAGAUUAUGUAACCAGCCUUGGAGAGUCGGGCAUAGUCUCUGUAUGGUGGUGCAUUGCUAUCAUUUUGUCU